GACACCAGUACUUUUUCAACUAUGUGUUGCAAAUAUCUUCUCAUGCCCUUACCCUUCUUUGUGUUGGAGCUUUUGUUAGUGUCAAAUUUAUGCUUCCUUCAUGAUUUGUACAAUUUGUGUCUUGUUUAGGGAAUUUUUUCUUAUAACAAAGUCAUAAAAAUCCUAUAUUCUCUUUCAAAGUUUUAAAAUUUUGUGUUUAACAUUUCAUCUUUUAAUCCUUUGGGAUUUGUUUUAGUGUGGUGUAGGAUAAGCGUAUGAUUUAAUUUUUUCACUUCAGAUAAUCAUUGUACUAGCCCCAUUAAUUGAAUUAUCUGCAAUACCACCUCUAUCAUAGAUCAAGUCCAUAUAUUUCUAUUCUUCAAUCUGCUUCUGGACUCUUCUCUGUUCCUGACCUAUUAGCUUUUCCCUGUGUCUACGCUUUCUUAGCUUAAAGGAUAAAACUUCAAAAAUUAAAUAUUGAUAUCUGCUCUUUAGUUUUUGUUCUUUAAAAAUUUUAUUAUUUUUCCCUUUUGAUUUUUCAUACGAUUUUGGGAUCAGCUUCUUUUUUUUUUUUUUUUUGUCUUUUUUUGCUAUUUCUUGGGCCGCUCCCGCGGCAUAUGGAGGUUCCCAGGCUAGGGGUCUAAUAGGAGCUGUAGCCGCUGGCCUACGCCAGAGCCACAGCAACACAGGAUCCGAGCUGCGUCUGCAACCUACACCACAGCUCACGGCAACACCGGACCGUUAACCCACUGAGCAAGGGCAGGGACUGAACCCGCAACCUCAUGGUUCCUAGUCGGAUUCGUUAACCACUGCACCACGACGGGAACUUCCAGGAUCAGCUUCUUAAAUUGCAUGAACAAUGCUGUUGAGAUUUAGAUUGGAAUUACAUUAAAUUUAUAUGUUAAUUGGGGAACUUGUGAAACUUUACAGGUAUUAAGCCUUGGCAUCCAUAAAUAUAGUAUUGCUAUUCUUUUAUUUAGGCCUGUAAUUAUGUCUUUUAAAUUCCUUCAUGAAGAUCUUGCACAGUUUUUGUUAGUUUUAUUUUCAGAUUUUAAAGCAUUUAAAAAAUGUUAUUGGUAUAGAGAACGGUAUUUUUUUUUUCUAUUACAUUUUAAACUGCUUAUGAACAGCAAUAGAAAGGCUAUUUUUAUUUGCUGAUUUUAUAUUUAGUAACCCUUCUGAACUCCCUUAUUAAUUUGAAUGAUAGGUCUGAGAAUUCUCUCAGAUUUUCUAUGUGGACAAUCAUGUUGUCAGAAGAUGAGACUGUUUUGUAUGUUCCUUUCCUAUUACUAUCUCUCCUGUUUUUUUUUUUUUUUGUUGUUGUUGUUGUUGUUUUUGCUUAACUUCUCCCUUAUGAUGAAGGGAAGAAAUGUAUAUUUGAGAAUUUUGUUUGGAUGCCUCUGGACUGAAGAGAGAGGCAGGAAAACUAAAACCAUAAAUUAGAGAGCUGAAAAGGUCCUUUUUUUUUUUGUCUUUUUGUCUUUUUGUCGUUGUUGUUGUUGCUAUCUCUUGGGCCGCUCCCGCAGCAUAUGGAGGUUCCCAGGCUAGGGGUUGAAUCGGAGCUGUAGCCACCGGCCUACGCCAGAGCCACAGCAACGCGGGAUCCGAGCCGGGUCUGCAACCUACACCACAGCUCACGGCAACGCCGGAUCGUUAACCCACUGAGCAAGGGCAGGGACCGAACCCGCUACCUCAUGGUUCCUAGUUGGAUUCGUUAACCACUGCGCCACGACGGGAACUCCUGAAAAGGUCCUUUUGAUAAAUUUUUACUAUGAUUUUAUAUUUUGAAAUAUUUAUCUUUAAAAAAAUUAUUUCUACAUUGUUCCUUCUAUCCUUUUCUUGUAUUUUUGUGAGACUGACAUUGAACAUUCUUUCACCUCUAUUUUUUAAAAACUUAAUUCUUGGGGAGACCCUGCUGUGGCGCAGUGGAAACAAAUCCAACUAGGAACGAUCAGGUUGCGGGUUUGAUCCCUGGCCUCAGUGGGUUGGGGACCAGGUGCCUCAGGUGCAGCCCUAAAAAGCAAAACAAACAAAAAAACAAAAAACCACCAAAAAACCACAAACUUUUAAAAAACACUUAAUUCUUUAAGUAACAAUAUGCUUUUUUGUUUGUUUUUAUAGCCACACCUGUGGCAUAUGGAAAUUCUCUGGCUAGGGGUCAAAUCAGAGCUGCAGCUACUGGCCAUAGCAAUACUAGGUCCACGACCUACACUGAAGCUUGGGGCAAUGCUGGAUCCUUAACCCACUGAGCAAGGCCAGAGAUUGAACCCGCAUCCUCUCAGACACUAUGUCGGGUUCUUAACCCAUUGAGCCACAAUAGGAAUGCUAGUAACAAAACAUUUUUAAUUUAAUUUUUUCAAGUUUGGAUUUCUAAAGCUUUCUAUUUAAAAAAAAUUUCUCAUUCUUUUAAAAAUUGAAGGAUAGUUGAUUUAUAAUAUUAUGUUAGUUUCAGGUGCAUAGCCUAGUAAUUCAGUAUUUUUGCAGCUUAUACUCCAAAAUAGGUUACUACAAAAUAAUGAAUAUAGGGAAUUUCCCUGUGGCACAGUGGGUUAAGGAUCUGGCAUUGUCAAUUGUCACAGCUGUGGCACAGGUUCAAUCCCUGACCCAGGGAACUUUCACAUGCUGCAGGCACUGCAAAAAAAAAAAAAAAAAAAAAAAAAAA
rnacentral:lncRNA from 1 species